UUAUGUCCCUAUGAAGAAAACACAACAGAGACAGAGAGAAACAGACACUCCCUCCUGCAAUAAUGAAAGCUGCUAAACUAAAUGUUCCCCAUUGAGCCAGUACCACACCGAAAUUUUCCAGGGAGCAGUUGCCUGGAAAAGGGAAGGAAGAAAAGCUGAAGAUGGAGUGAUGGGAGGUGUUUUGUAUGCAUCAGUCAACCAAGGACUCAUCCUGAAGAAGCCCUCAGUCAGCACCGAGAUCUCGGUGAAAAGGGGAGAGUCGGCUUGUAAAAUAUUCAUAGCAAAAGAUGCCUCUUGCUGGAAGAGAGUUCUGCAGAUACCAUGGACAGCAAAAAAGACAAAUAAGUGGGCUGUAGAUCAAAUCAAGCCUGAAUUCUCCCUAGAAACUAGAAUGACAAGACUAAAGCUAUCGUUCUUUGGUCACAUCAUGAGAAGACAAGAUUCUCUGGAAAAGUCAAUAAUGCUAGGAGAAGUGGAAGGCAGUAGGAAAAAAGGAAGACCUAAAGUGAGAUGGCUUGACUCAAUAAAAGAAGCCAUGUCCUCCAAUUUGCAGGGUCUGAGCAAAUCUGUUAAUGAUAGGACAUUCUGGAUGUCUUUCCUUCAUAGGAUUGCCAUAUGUCAGAGGCGACUCGAUGGUACAUAACACACAGAAGCUGCCUCAGGCAGGUUCCUGGAGAGGCAGCAUAAAUAAAUAUAUAGAUGAAUAAAUAAAUAGAUGAAUGAAUAUAUUUGAGUUAAUUUGAGCUGCUGUAGCAUAGUGGUUAAGUGAUUGGGUUGAGAAUCAACAUUCUGCUGCUUUUAACUCCCGCUACUGCCAUGAGCUCAGCAGGUGACCUUGGGUAAGCCUCUCUUUUC